UAUGUGUACUGAAGGUAUUAAGGAGUUACACAGCAUUGUUCUAGUCUGAAGCAAUGUCAACAAUAAUGUGUAACAUCAAAUUAAGAAAGGUCAAAGGCUAUUAUGUAUUUUUUAGAUAUUUUUAGGUCACGAUGUUUGAGACAAUAGUGCCAUCUACAGGUAGUGUAGGACAUCACGCCCAGGGGUCAAUGAUUGACAUUUUACUAAAUAUUUAGAUUAAAUGGUGAUAGUUUAACUUUUGGAGACUACCCUUCAGUUCCAAUUGGUUAGUUAAUUAAUCCCAGGGGUUGAGUUUUAGACAGAAAGGAGGGAUAAAUUAGGAGACACUGGGAUACUAAAGAGGCAAUUAAAAAAGGAACUAAAAAAAGGAAGAAGGAUAAGAAAAAGAGGGCUGACUGUAGGAAAAGAACUAGAAAAAGAAAGAAAGAGAAGGAAGGAAAUCUAAAAAACUACUUGGAGACUCUCAACUAUAAGAAGACUCAUUCUCCAACUAAAAAGAAAAGAACCAGAUGUUUUUAAAGAUCCAGAAAGUGAGAUCAGGGUGACAUCACAGGCCAGUGAAAACUACAUCUGACAGGGGCAGUGUCCCCUGGAGCAGCGGAGAGCGUGAAGGAUCCGCAGGAGAGGACGGCGGGACCACAGCAGUUCACACCCAGCGGACAGGGAUGGACAGCAAGAAAGCACACAAGAAGCAGAAACGCUAGUGAUUAACAUAUCCAAAAAGGACACCUUUUAUCUGCAGUUACAUGGUACCGUGAUCGGAUCCAACGUCGGGCCUACCUAUGCCAACAUAUUUGAGAACGAGUCGCAGUUUUUACGAGUCAGACGAAUAGCAACAUUGGCCGUUGCUAAGGAAAGCUUACUCGGAUAUCUCAGAGUUCUCGGAACCUCCACUUAUGUCAUAUAAGCGACCACGCAGUCUAGAGACAGACUGGUGAAAUUGGAUUUGUGUACCACAAAAGUAAAUCCUCAGAGACUAUUGGCACCUUUAUAGAAUGGCAUGUAUCCAUGCGGUAGUUGCAACCAGUGCUCUAGUGUAAUAUGUACCAAUGUUUUUAGCAGGAUCAGCACUCUCUGUUAUUUGUGAUAUUGUGGUUUAAGUGGCAUUUUAUCCGACGUUUCGUUCCCACAUGGAGACCUUUUUCAAGGAUAUAGUGCAUUGUGAGUGUAACAACUUAAAUACCCUCACCACAUGUGAAAUAUAAAGUUCAUUUAUUUUCUUUUCGCUUUAGUCAAUGUGUUAUAAUACUUCACACCACCAGGUGUCAGUGUAUUGCUCUGGGCAAGUGUAGCAGUGUCCAUAUUAAAAAAGGAAGAAAAUCAUUCCAUACAUAGCAACAAUGUAACUAUGCCUCUUACAGAUUCAGAAGUUGUUCAUGUCACGUGCAGAGAAACACAUUGUAUUUAUUCCUGUGGAAUGAAACAAAUAAAGUCAUUU